UAGGGAAUCUUCCGCAAUGGGCGAAAGCCUGACGGAGCAACGCCGCGUGAGUGAUGAAGGUCUUCGGAUCGUAAAACUCUGUUAUUAGGGAAGAACAAAUGUGUAAGUAACUAUGCACGUCUUGACGGUACCUAAUCAGAAAGCCACGGCUAACUACGUGCCAGCAGCCGCGGUAAUACGUAGGUGGCAAGCGUUAUCCGGAAUUAUUGGGCGUAAAGCGCGCGUAGGCGGUUUUUUAAGUCUGAUGUGAAAGCCCACGGCUCAACCGUGGAGGGUCAUUGGAAACUGGAAAACUUGAGUGCAGAAGAGGAAAGUGGAAUUCCAUGUGUAGCGGUGAAAUGCGCAGAGAUAUGGAGGAACACCAGUGGCGAAGGCGACUUUCUGGUCUGUAACUGACGCUGAUGUGCGGAAGCGUGGGGAUCAAACAGG
rnacentral:rRNA from 1 species